rnacentral:lncRNA from 1 species
GCGUGAUCUCGGCUCACUGCAACCUUCACCUCCUGGGUUCAAGCAAUUAUUCUCCUGCCUCAGCCUGCGGAGUAGCUGGGACUACAGGCGCGCGCUACCAUGCCCAGCUAAUUUUUUGUAUUUUUAGUAGAGAAGGGGUUUCACCAUGCUGGUCAGGCUGGUCUCAAACUCCUGACCUCGUAAUCCACCCUCCUUGGCCUCCCAGAGUGCUGGGAUUACAGGCGUGGGCUACCGUGCCUAGCUGAGAGUGUCUAUCUUAGCAGGAAUAAACUAGACACAGGUCAGACAGGAGCCACAAGGGUAUCUGCUGGUAUAAACAAGUUUCCUGUGAGAGGGACAUCUGGGCAUGGGUCCAGACACUUGAGUAUUAGGCUGUCUGCAAGACAAAAUGUAUCUCAUGAAAAGCAUACUUUAAAAAUUCACAACCUAAUCCUCUAGAAUCCCGUCAGGGCAGAAAUAUAAAUUAUACUCACACUUCAGAGAGAAACUUUCAGACCAAAUUAGAGGAAAAUCACAAGAGGGAACAUUGGAAAAGAGUUUAGGAGUUGACCAGGGCCAGCAUCAUGGCCACGUUAUCCAGGUCUUCAAGCAGGACCAUGGACUCGAAGGACCCCACACUUGCUUUAGGGCUCUAACAUCAACAUAUUUAAAUUCCUAAUAAUUUUAUCUUCAAAUUUGUGUUCUGUAAGUGAAGACUGAGGAGCCAAUGGAACAUUCAUGUGAAAAGAGGAGAUACCUGAGAUUUGCAUAUUUACCAUUUUUUCAUCUUAUUUUUAUAUAAAGUUCACGAUGCCCCAUGAUCACAGAAUUCCAUAGGACCCAGUAUGCAUGGGAGUUCAGUGAGACUCAAACCAAUGACAAGGAAAGAAAGCCAUAAAUGGAUUCAGGAAAUCUAUUUGUCACAUCUCGUUUGAAGAAUGGUGAAGUAAAGGCAGUCCACUAAGAGUUUCAGCUUUCCCCUUUAACAUUGUAGGAAGGAUCAUCUAUGCAGCUUGAAAAUUGUUUUGUCGAGGUGUAUGACAUUUUCAUCUCCCAUCAUGUGAAAUCGCCUGCUUCUGCUUUGCUCUUUGCCAUGAUUGUAAGUUCCCUGAUUCCUCCCCAGAAGCUGAUACUGCUAUGCCUCUUGGACAGCCUGUGGAACCAUGAGCCAAUUAAACAUCUUUUCCUUAAAAAUUACUCAGUCUCAGGUAUUUCUUUUCAGCAG